AAAUCGGGUCUUUGAAGAGAACGUCCCAUUCCAUAAGGCAUGCAAUGCGCGGCCGUGAAAGAAGCUCACUCCUCUCCUUUUUAUUUAUUUAAUUAUAUUACAUAUCAAAAAACAAAUAUUACAUAUUUAUCAUUUUAAUUAAUGUUUCUACCAUGGUUAUUACUUAAUUCGAGUGUUUGUCUAUUGUUUCAUAAGAGUUUAUUAAUGGUUGUAACAAGUCAUUUUCCAUUAGAUUCUCUGUUCACAUUAAAUUAAUGGCUUUGACUACCUAAUAUGGAUAAUUU
rnacentral:lncRNA from 1 species